rnacentral:rRNA from 1 species
CCAAUAGCGUAUAUUAAAGUUGUUGCAGUUAAAAAGCUCGUAGUUGAAUUUCGGGAUUAGUGCGCUGGUCAUGCCUUUGGUAUGUACUGGUGUUACUGAUUUCUACCUUCUGAAGAACCGUUAUGUCAUUUAUUUGGUGUGGCGGGGAAUCAGGACUGUUACUUUGAAAAAAUUAGAGUGUUUAAAGCAGGCUCGCGCUUGAAUACAUUAGCAUGGAAUAAUGAAAUAGGACGUUUGACCCUAUUUUGUUGGUUUCUAGGAUCGACGUAAUGAUUAAUAGGGAUAGUUGGGGGCAUUAGUAUUCAAUUGUCAGAGGUGAAAUUCUUGGAUUUAUUGAAGACUAACUACUGCGAAAGCAUUUGCCAAGGAUGUUUUCAUUAAUCAAGAACGAAAAUUAGGGGAUCGAAGACGAUCAGAUACCGUCGUAGUCUUAACCAUAAACUAUGCCGACUAGGGAUCGGAUGAUGUUAUUUUUAAUGACUCAUUCGGCGCCUUACG